CUGGCGGCGUGCCUAAUACAUGCAAGUCGAACGGUCUUUUCUAUGGAAGCUUGCUUCCACUGAGAAGAUAGUGGCGAACGGGUGAGUAACACGUGGGUAACCUGCCCAUAAGAGGGGGAUAACAUCCGGAAACGGGUGCUAAUACCGCAUAGUUUUCUUGAUCGCAUGAUUGAGAAAGGAAAGACGGCCUUUGUGCUGUCGCUUAUGGAUGGACCCGCGGCGUAUUAGUUAGUUGGUGAGGUAACGGCUCACCAAGACGAUGAUACGUAGCCGACCUGAGAGGGUGAUCGGCCACAUUGGGACUGAGACACGGCCCAAACUCCUACGGGAGGCGGGGAGCAGUAGGGAAUCUUCCGCAAUGGACGAAAGUCUGACGGAGCAACGCCGCGUGAGUGAAGAAAGGUUUUCGGAUCGUAAAACUCUGUUGUCAGAGAAGAACAAGUUGGAGAGUAACUGCUCCAGCCUUGACGGUAUCUGACCAGAAAGCCACGGCUAACUACGUGCCAGCCGCAGC
rnacentral:rRNA from 1 species